GUGCCAGCCGCCGCGGUAAUACGUAGAUGGCAAGCGUUGUCCGGAUUUACUGGGCGUAAAGGGUGUGCAGGCGGACAUUUAAGUGAGAUGUGAAAGACCCGGGCUUAACUUGGGCGGUGCAUUUCAAACUGGAUGUCUGGAGUGCAGGAGAGGAGAACAGAAUUCCUAGUGUAGCGGUGAAAUGCGUAGAGAUUAGGAAGAACACCAGUGGGGAAGGCGGUUCUCUGGACUGUAACUGACGAUGAG
rnacentral:rRNA from 1 species